rnacentral:lncRNA from 1 species
UGUAGUAUAUGUUGGCUAUAAUAGGUUCAUUAUAGGAGUAGAGUACGUACUUAGAUAGAAUCUAUCGAUCGUAGUAGAUAAGAAGUAGUCCUAUAAAAUUUGAGAAGUUGAGUUCUUAAGUCUGUAGCCACAACAAGAUGAUCGAUGGAAAUAAGUUUUCAUUUAGAUUUGAGCUAAUCAAAUUUUUUAUAUGGUAGUUGAUGGGAUUUGAUAAGUUUUCAUAACCUUCAUCU